rnacentral:rRNA from 1 species
GUGAUCAUCGAAUCUUUGAACGCACCUUGCGCUCCUUGGUAUUCUGAGGAGCAUGCCUGUUUGAGUGUCAUUAAUAUAAUCAAUCUCUUCAGCUUUUUUGCUUGCUGAGCUUUUGGAUGUGGGGGCACCCCUUUUAUGCUGGCUUCUUUUUCUGAAGUCGGCUCCCCUAAAAUGCAUUAGCAGAACAAUUUGUUGACUGUUCUUUGGUGUGAUAACUAUCUACGCUAUUGACAGUGAAGCCAUGUUCAGCUCUAACAGUCCAUUGAAUUGGACAAUUUGUUUUAUUAAUGUGACCUCAAAUCAGGUAGGACUACCCGCUGAACUUAAGCAUAUCAAUAAGCGGAGG